GAUGAACGCUGGCGGCGUGCUUAACACAUGCAAGUCGAACGGUGAAGCAGGAGCUUGCUCUUGUGGAUCAGUGGCGAACGGGUGAGUAACACGUGAGCAACCUGCCCCUGACUCUGGGAUAAGCGCUGGAAACGGCGGCUAAUACUGGAUAUGUGAUGUGACCGCAUGGUCUGCAUCUGGAAAGAAUUUCGGUUGGGGAUGGGCUCGCGGCCUAUCAGCUUGUUGGUGGGGUAAUGGCUCACCAAGGCGUCGACGGGUAGCCGGCCUGAGAGGGUGACCGGCCACACUGGGACUGAGACACGGCCCAGACUCCUACGGGAGGCAGCAGUGGGGAAUAUUGCACAAUGGGCGGAAGCCUGAUGCAGCGACGCCGCGUGAGGGAUGACGGCCUUCGGGUUGUAAACCUCUUUUAGCAGGGAAGAAGCGAAAGUGACGGUACCUGCAGAAAAAGCACCGGCUAACUACGUGCCAGCAGCCGCGGUAA
rnacentral:rRNA from 1 species